AGAGUUUGAUCAUGGCUCAGAACGAACGUUAGCGGCGCGCCUAACACAUGCAAGUCGUGCGAGAAAGGGCUUCGGCCCCGGUAAAGCGGCGCACGGGUGAGUAACACGUAGAUAACCUACCCUCAGGUGGCGGAUAACCUUCCGAAAGGAGGGCUAAUACGGCAUAAGACCACGACCUCGCAAGAGGAUGGGGCAAAAGCGGGCCUCUGUACACAAGCUCGCGCCAGGGGAUGGGUCUGCGGCCCAUCAGCUAGUUGGUAGGGUAAUGGCCUACCAAGGCUACGACGGGUAGCUGGUCUGAGAGGAUGAUCAGCCACACUGGAACUGAGACACGGUCCAGACUCCUACGGGAGGCAGCAGUGGGGAAUCUUGCGCAAUGGGCGAAAGCCUGACGCAGCGACGCCGCGUGAGUGAUGAAGGCCCUCGGGUUGUAAAGCUCUGUGGAGGGGGACGAAUAAGUCGGAGCGAAUAGCUCCGAUGAUGACGGUACCCCUUUAGCAAGCACCGGCUAACUCUGUGCCAGCAGCCGCGGUAAGACAGAGGGUGCAAACGUUGUUCGGAAUUACUGGGCGUAAAGCGCGUGUAGGCUGCUCGGAAAGUCGGAUGUGAAAGCCCUAGGCUCAACCUAGGAAGUGCAUUCGAAACUUCUGAGCUUGAGUAUCGGAGAGGAAGGCGGAAUUCUCGGUGUAGAGGUGAAAUUCGUAGAUAUCGAGAGGAACACCGGUGGCGAAGGCGGCCUUCUGGACGAUAACUGACGCUGAGACGCGAAAGCGUGGGGAGCAAACAGGAUUAGAUACCCUAGUAGUCC
rnacentral:rRNA from 1 species